rnacentral:rRNA from 1 species
GCUGGCGGCAGGCCUAACACAUGCAAGUCGAGCGGUAACAGAAAGAAAGCUUGCUUUCUUUGCUGACGAGCGGCGGACGGGUGAGUAAUGCCUGGGAAUAUGCCUUAGUGUGGGGGAUAACUAUUGGAAACGAUAGCUAAUACCGCAUAACGUCUUCGGACCAAAGAGGGGGACCUUCGGGCCUCUCGCGCUAAGAUUAGCCCAGGUGGGAUUAGCUAGUUGGUGAGGUAAAGGCUCACCAAGGCAACGAUCCCUAGCUGGUCUGAGAGGAUGAUCAGCCACACUGGAGCUGAGACACGGUCCAGACUCCUACGGGAGGCAGCAGUGGGGAAUAUUGCACAAUGGGGGAAACCCUGAUGCAGCCAUGCCGCGUGUAUGAAGAAGGCCUUCGGGUUGUAAAGUACUUUCAGUCGUGAGGAAGGCAUUGUAGUUAAUAGCUGCAGUGCUUGACGUUAGCGACAGAAGAAGCACCGGCUAACUCCGUG